AUUUAAAUAGCUUAAAAAUAGAGCAUUAUAUUGAAGAUAUAAAGGUAAAUUUAAAUUUUUUAAAUA
rnacentral:tRNA from 1 species